AUUUUCUCCUUCUAGAAUACACAACUCUCGGUGAUUUCCUUCUACGAAGUGGAUUACAGCUUCGAUCUGCCGUAUCUGCAAAAAUCCAUUGCCGAAUCACAUGCCGCCCUCAAGUCAAUUGUUCAACGCCCCCUCACCGACAAGUCUUUAAAUCGCAUCGAUGAAGUAUUUGAUUUUUUUGGUGAUGCUUCACUCCUUGAAACCGCCUUCAAACCCGAUUCGCCAUAUCGUGAAUUAAUGGGAAAAAUCGUCAGCGAUAUUAAUACUGCCAUGGAAACAGGAGAUAUGUAAACUCAUCACAUCUCUCGUCCAAAGGACUGCAAAGUACAGAAAAGUCCGAAAUAUGCGCGUGUGUGCGUGUAAAGGCAAAUAGUGAAAGGCUUAAAUGAUAUCUAGGUCAUUAGAGAAUUGCAACAACAAACCAAAAAUAAAGUAAUGUAAUAAAUUAAAGAACUUUUAUCGAAUACGCUUGUUUUAAUUUAUAUGUAUGUAAUAAAAUAAAAAGAAACCUGUCGAUCGAUGAUGAUAACGGCAAAAUAAUGAAAUGCGCACUGUGUUGUAUUGUGAAGUGUUUGAUGAUGGCGUUCAUGACGAUGAUGAUGAUGAUGUAGAUGUCGCAUGAUUGUGCUAAUAAUGCACGUAGAUACAUUGUAUUUUUGAUGCUAUUGUCUAAGCAUUCUAAUGUUAACGUCGUUAUUGAUAAUGACCAAUGAUAGCACUGACGAUAAUAUUUAUUAUAUAGAACUAGCAAAUCUGACAAUUGAAUUUUUUAUCGAUUGUUUUUCUAUAGUGAUAUUAAGUAAAAAAAAAAAAAUAUAUAAGCACAGAAAAUCUUAAAGCAAAGAAUUUGCGGCAGUGCUGAACAAGAAACAAAUAAAAUGAAUGUAAAUGAAAAGAAAGUGAGAGAUACAUAUGUACAUUAGGGUGGUCUUUAAAAAUCAAAUGUACGAUUUCUUCCAGUAUCAUCCCUUCAAUCGGUAAUAGCACUGUCGCAGAUAUCACAUAUAAAUUUUGGUCCCGAUUGGAGACGGUUGAGGCGUGUCGCACAGGG